UACGUAGGGGGCGAGCGUUAUCCGGAUUUACUGGGCAUAAAGGGAGCGUAGGUGGUUAGGUAAGUCAGGUGUUAAAGUCAAAAGCUCAACUUUUGUUCGCACUUGAUACUGCUUAACUAGAGAUCAGGAGAGGAAAGCGGAACUCACAGUGUAGCGGUGAAAUGCGUAGAUAUUGUGAGGAACACCAGUUGCGAAGGCGGCUUUCUGGACUGAUUCUGACACUGAGGCUCGAAAGCGUGGGGAGCAAACAGGAUUAGAUACCCUGGUAGUCCACGCUGUAAACGGUGUUCACUAGGUGUAGAGGGUAUCGACCCCUUCUGUGCCACAGAUAAUUCGUUAAGUGAACCGCCUGGGAAGUACGACCGCAAGGUUA
rnacentral:rRNA from 1 species